GCGCGCCCCCGCCCCCGUCCCCGCCCCCGCCUUAUCUUCCCUGAGCUCCUGGGGCUCCUGAGCUGAGGCCCCUCUCUCUCACUCUCUGCCCCUCCCCGCGGCUCUUUCUCUCCCCAGCACCUUGGAGCCCCUCGACCCGGCUGCGGCGGGGACCUGAGCGGCGGCGGACGGCCUCGAAGAUGAAGUGCAAGCCGAACCAGACGCGGACCUACGACCCGGAGGGGUUCAAGAAGCGGGCGGCGUGCCUGUGCUUCCGGAGCGAGCGCGAGGACGAGGUGCUGUUAGUGAGUAGCAGUCGGUACCCGGACCGCUGGAUCGUGCCGGGCGGGGGCAUGGAGCCCGAGGAGGAGCCCGGCGGUGCGGCCGUCCGCGAGGUGUUUGAAGAAGCGGGAGUCAAGGGGAAGUUAGGCCGGCUCCUGGGCAUUUUCGAGCAGAACCAAGAUCGCAAGCACAGAACGUACGUGUAUGUACUGACUGUCACUGAGAUUCUGGAGGAUUGGGAAGAUUCGGUUAGCAUUGGGAGGAAGCGAGAGUGGUUCAAAGUCGAAGAUGCGAUCAAGGUUCUCCAGUGCCACAAGCCCGUGCAUGCUGAAUAUCUGCAAAAACUAAAGCUGGGCGGUUCCCCAACCAAUGGAAACUCCGUGGCCUCGUCCCUGCCGGAGGGCGAUCCCUAAUAUUUUUGCAGAUAAAAACCCCUUCCAUCUGAAAUGCUGUCACAAAUACUUUGGAGCCUUAACUUGUUAUUCUUAGAGAUGAACAGCAAAGAUGUCCGGAUUGUUUGAAAGAAUCAAUGAUGUGAACCAUUAAUAAAUGGAAUUGUCAAGUAUAGGUGAGCACUUCCAUGCUUCCAAGGAGACAGCUCAUCUGGUUUUCUUCCUGCAUCUUGAGACAUGCCUUCCCUGUCUGUUUUGCUGACUUCUCUUGCCCUGGUGAUUUUACUGUUGUACAUGAACAGACUCUUAUUCAGCACCUGUAGCCUUUUGUUGUGCUUUUUUUUUUUGAUAUGUCUGCCUUCUUUAUUAGACUAUGAUAUCCUUGAAAGCAAGAACCACAUCUACGUAUUCUUUGCAUAUUCUGCACCUGAGACACUACUUGAAAUAUGGUUGACAUCACUGAAGGUUCUUUGAUUCAAUUAAUAUUUUAUAAUCACUACAUAUAAUUAUAAUGGCAAAACAUUCCCCUUCCAAUCUGGUGCUAUAUGCUCUCCAGGCACCAUGUGUGUGGCUUUUCUGAAUAAGACAUUUUGGAAACUUUUCAAGGCAGUUGUAGGAUAUUCAAGGACAAGAAUUACUACUCCUAUUGCUAUGUCAUACCAUGCAGUGGAUAGCACAGUUUUUACAUCACGUAGGGCAAAAUUUUAUAGAAUCAGUCCUUUGUGUAACAACUUCAGUGUUUUUGUACUGUUGUUAAUUUGCUUAAAAUUUUAUUCAAGAAUACCACUUGCUGUAAAACUAAUUAUAAAAAUAAAUACAAUGAACAUAAUAAGAUGAUGUGCUUUUAAUAAAAAUUUUACAAUAUACAAAUAAUAAAGUUAAUGUUUUUGCACUGCUCUAA